AUCACUUAUAAAUCUUCUAUAAAUUAUCUUUAAUUUCUCUUUUCCACUUUUCUGUUUCAGCCUCCUGGUAUUUUUAAGGAAAUGUAAGACUGUGAAUCAGGUACUGAUGGUUUUGACUUCAUUAUGAUCAGCAUCUUUGGCUUCCAUCAGAGUAGACACUGAACGUUUUCAUCCAACCGGAUGAUGAGUGCAUUAGAACUACAUAAGAGAUGAAAUCCUUUCUCCCUGGGACAUAAAAAUAAUCCACAUCUUCACAACAACAGCUGUUCCUCUAUAGCCUCCCAUGAGACCGGAACCAUCACAACUGCGCUGCUGCUUAUGAUUUGCUUCGUUGUAUUUAAUAUACUCUUCACUCUCAACUCAGGGAAAAGGACCCUGACAGGACACCCUCCUGUCGGAGCUAACAGAUGUGCACCUUUGAGAAUGAUCAUUGAGAAGGGAAGCCAUGUGACUUCAUCCUCCGUGGCUCUGGUGGUCUCUUCGACAUCUGUGAGAUACUCACUAAAAGCUGGUUGCGCUUUGAGAUCUGGGCGCCUGCUGGAACCUGGAGCCACAAGUCUUCAUGCUAAAGAACUCCUGUCUUGGUGGAGUCUGCCCUGCCCCAUGAUCUUGCCUUGGCCAUCAGUCUGAAUUCAAAACAUUCUCCGCAGCUAGGAAAGGCAGCACAGGGGAGUUUUCUUCCGGAGGAGGAGAGAGCUUUCAGGAACGGCCUUGAACAACAGAGAUCAUGAAUGCCUUCCCCCUUCCUGGACCUUCCAGAUACUAGGAUUUUGUUUUUUCUGUCAUUAUUGCAAAAUCAGUGUGUCCUUUUCAGCAAUCAUAACUUUACAUUUUUGAAAUCAUACCUGGCUUUCAUUCAGACAUGUCGUCAGGAAGGAUUGUCUGGAAGAGGAAUAAAAACAUUGUCGCAGGAAAACAUGAUUAUGCAAUUUAAGUAAAAAGACAUGCCAUGUUCAGAAAUUAGGACGAAAUCUUGAAUUUAAAAAAAAAUUCAAGGCCGGGUGCGGUAGCUCACGCCUGUAAUCCCAGCACUUUGAGAGGCCAAGGCGGAUCACGAGGUCACGAGAUCGAGACCAUUCUGGCUAAUAUGGUGAAACCCCGUCUCUACUAAAAAUACAAAAAAUUAGCCGGGCGUGGUGGCGGGCACCUACAUGUAGUACCAGCUACUUGGGAGGCUGAGGCAGGAGAAUGGCGUGAACCCGGGAGGCGGAGUUUGCAGUGAGCAGAGAUGGCGCCACUGCGAUCCAGCCUGGGCAACAGAGGGAGACUCCAUCUCAAAAAAAAAAAAAUUCAAAAUGGGUUUACACAGAUCAACUUGCUUUACUGAAGUGCGUACACCAGGAGAAACAUAAGGAAGGCUGUUGUUGCAAGCUGCAAGUAAUCCAGGAAGCCAAAUAAAAUAAUCAACAGACAGCAGCAAGACCCCCAAAAGGGGUCAAGAGUCCAAUCUGCCAGGAGUGGGCAGGGAGUUCAGAGUCCCUGUGAUGUGUUCACCCCAAACUUGUUUGGGGCAGAAAUCACAAGUUUAGGAAUGCAAUUAGUUUUUGGGUCAGACAUAUGAGGCUGAUCAGAAGCCUGAUUGCAGAUGGUCCCAUAAGAGAACAAGCCCUUUCUUGUGGGCAUUUGUGUGUGAUGCACACAGUCCAGCCAGCAUCCAUGAUGUUUUCUUAGUUUGGGAUCCCAUGCAGGCAUGUCCUAAUCUGCAGUGAUACCAGAGUCUGAGUUCUGUUUAUUGUGCUUAUAGAGUUUUUUGUCCAGCACAGUUUGUGCUGAGGCUGAAAGAGCCAGCAGCAGAUAGUGUAAGGUUUCAUCUCAGAGUCAGGUCCAGGCAAUUAGGAUCUGUGAGUUAGGAUUCCCCACAAAAAGCCAACAGCUUUUGUUCCGCUGUAGCAAAGCCAAAGCCCUGCAGAGUGGGAAAGCGGUGUUGCUGGUCCCAGUGACAGGCAAGGCUUUCCUAAGCCCUGUUUGGCUUGUUAUUUGCUGAGUCCAAAUGGACCCACUCAAAAAUAUGCUCAGAGGCCAGAAAAUUAUCAGCCUCUAAGGCGCAGGCAUCUGAUCUUACAAGAGCUCAUUAGGAACUAAAAACUAAUAUUUAAAAUUCUAAAAGUGUAUCUCCAAUUAGAGAGUGCCUGUCUUUUCAUAUUGUCUCCCCUUUUCCAGAGGCUCCCAUAGGUGAAAAUCAUACUAAAAAUUGCCAGUUAUGGAAAUUAUUUUCCUUUUAAUACUCAAAAACUUGCAUUUCAAUUCCCUCACCAGCUGCAACAAGCAAGGCAGUUGUAUACCAUCCUGGGUUUUGUUUGCUUUUGGCAGCUUUCCUGAUCAGGAUGAUUCCUCCAAUGUUUAUGAAAUUACAAGCAUAGAAUAUGUUUUUUAUCAUGUAUCUAGAUGCAGUAGCCAUAAGACACAAAGCCAGCUUUUAAAAAUUCUCUUUCAAGUUUUUAAAAUUUUCCAUUCCAAGUUUACUCAAACCUUCAACAGUGCAAUUGGCAUUUGAGAGUUAACAUUACAGCUGCCAAGAAAUGCCUAGAAUGGGGGAUAGGAGGCUCUCGCAACAUCUGAAAUGGGUUUUUCUUUUCUUUCUUCUUCUUUUUUUUUCUUUGUUUUUAGGAGUUUUUCUUUUCUUUUUUCCAGUUUAUCUAAUGCUUUGCCCCAGCCCUAGUACCUAAUUUAGCUUUUUGUAGAAGAGAACAACACAAACUUUUAGCAUUUUAGGUCCACCUGAAAUUCACCUUUGGGAAUGCUUGGGCCCCUUCUUUUCCUACCUAGAGGGAAAACAAAAACCUAAGGCAACACCUGGGCCUUUUGUUUUUUGCCCAACUGGCAGGUGUUUAGCAAUUUACUCUUCUACUGCCAGGAUUUGAAAGAACACAGGCUUUCCACGCAAGUUUCUCUUUAGAGGUUGGAGAAUGUGCUGUGCACAGCUGAGAAUUUGACUCUACACUGUUUUGUAUUUAUCUUUUCUUAAUAAAUAUAUGUAACGUAAAAUUUGCCAUUAUAAGUAUUUUGAGUUACAAUUCAGUGGCAUUAACGACAUUUACAAUGUUGUACAGUCAUCACUGCUAUUUCCAAAAUUUUUUCAAGAAUGGCUACACUCCAGAUCUGAAGCUAUUCUAGAGCAGAAACACACAUCAGGAUGGCACUUUCAUCACUCACAUACACACACCCUGCAGACCCCAGCUUCCAUUGUUCAUAUACACACA
ensembl:lincRNA